rnacentral:rRNA from 1 species
CGAAACAGGUUGAGCUAACUAUUUGCGGAUGUUAGUCAAAUAUACAUGUGUGUGGCAAAACACUGCGAGACAAAUAGUUAGGGGUGAUAGGCCAAGCAAAACCUGUGAUAUCUUGAUCUCAGGGAAACACAUUUAGUGAUAAAGCGGAUAAGAAAUGAUAAGGUUUCUUAUUUAAAUUAAUCGACAAACUUAAAAUUAUAUAGCUCUAACAGGUGAUAUAAUUAAAUUUUAACAUGACAAUGUGCUUUUUAUUUAAAAUACUGAUGAUUAAGAACCCCACACAAAUUUAUAAUGUCAAUAUUAGUAGGCACACAGGUCAAUAAAAUGAACUCGGCAAAUGAGUCUUUCGACUGUUUACCAAAAACAUAGCUACGUGAUCUAACACGUAGUUUUUUCUGCUCAAUGAAUCUUAAAUAGCCGCAGUACCCUGACUGUGCAAAGGUAGCAUAAUCAGUUGGCUUAUAAUUGAAGUCUGGAAUGAAAGAAUAAACGGAGGGAAGCUGUGUCUUAUUGAAGCUUUGAAAUUGACAGGUGAGUGAAAAUGCUCACAUUUAAAUAAUAGACGAGAAGACCCUAGAAAUUUAAGUAAGCUUUUGUUGGGGCGACAUAAUAGCAGUUAAACCUAUUUUAUGUACAUGUGCCUAAUUAGGGGUAAGAAUAAUUACUCUAGGGAUAACAGCGUAAUUUAUAAGAGAUUGCGACCUCGAUGUUGGACUAGGAAUUUGAGCCCAGAAGGCGAAAAUUUGCUCUGUC